AUACCAAUUCAAAGCAAAUACCCCCAGAUGUUUUCUAGAAAGGAAACUGCAAUAUUUAGCCUUCUCUCAUCAAAUAUCCAGAUUGUUCACAGCUUAGAGCAUUUUAAACACUGAAAUUGGAAGGGUGGAGGGAAUCUACAGACCCUUGAAUCAAAAUUAAUCUCUGAAGCUACACGGUAACAUUGGCUAUUUGGGCAUCUAGGAGUGACAGUGCUCAGUCUUGCUUCCAGAAACAUGCCAGCAAGGCAAUGGCCCGCUUAGCUACAGCAAGCCAACAUCAAAGACAGAGAAUGGGCCUGGGUUCAAUGAAACCUUGGUGCCAUCUUCCACAGAAAGGUAGACAAAGAUGCCACUGACCUUGGGUAGUCAUAGAACUUCAAGGGACAUGGUUGGGAAAAGAAAUUUAUAAGGAACACAAUAAUAGCUGGCAAGAUAAAUGUUAUUCAAAUUAAGACAUCUCACAGACACUUCUUGGAAAUAUGCUGCACAGGUUGGUGUGAAUUUGUCACAUCUGUCUUGGGUCCAAUAUCCUGACAGUGGGCCCAAGAUGACACAGGCAUGGCCCGAGACAAGGAAUAGAGCAGAGCUCACUGACCCAACCCAUGUCAGUGUUUCAAAUUCAACUCUAGAAUCUGAUUCAAAACAACUCAUGUCUAUGAUUCCUGGGCACAUUGAUGACUCUCUAAGCCCACGCUGGGGCUCAGGGUGCAAGGAUUAUGAGGUCUACCUGAGACAUCAUUUGGAUGUUUAUCACAUUCACAGUGGAGCACUCCUCCCUCAUCAGGAGCCAAGCAGACUUGCUGGUCCUCAAAUGAGUACAAGGUGCUUCUGUAAGACAGAUGGGAGCCAGACAGGUCAGCAGGAAUCAAAGGAGUCAAACAACAUCCAUCCCAAAACUUUCAGGGGACUUCCUGCUCUGCCACCUGUGGCAUCUCCCUGCUGAGACUCGUGGGAUAGGUUAAACUGAAGGUCUGAGGUUAAUCCAAGGGGGCUGGGGACCAUAGACUCCUAGAUGGAUUUGAUGGAAGGCAUAAGGCAACGGUUGCAGAAAGCAAAGGGGCUGACCCAAUAAAAGGUACAAAUUAUUCUCUUCAUGGUGGGACAGAGUGUGGCUGCCAUCAGAUGUUGAGAGAGAGAGAAAGAUAGAGAGAGACAGAGAUAGCGUGUGUUCGGUGAAUUGCCCAGAUUAGAAACUCAUGGGAAAAGAGAAACAAAACUCUCAUAUUUUGACAUAAUGUGGAGUUGUUUUGUUUUUUUUCAAGUUUCUUCUCUUGU
rnacentral:lncRNA from 1 species